GGAGUUGUAGCUCAGUUAGAAGAGCGCUUGCUUAGCAUGUGGGAAGUCCUGAGUUCAAUCCCCAGCACCACCU
rnacentral:tRNA from 1 species